rnacentral:rRNA from 1 species
GACGUAGGGGGCAAGCGUUGUCCGGAAUCAUUGGGCGUAAAGAGCGUGUAGGCGGCCCGGUAAGUCCGUUGUGAAAGUCGAGGGCUCAACCCUCGAAUGCCGGCGGAUACUGCCGGGCUAGAAUCCGGAAGAGGCGAGUGGAAUUCCUGGUGUAGCGGUGAAAUGCGCAGAUAUCAGGAGGAACACCAAUGGCGAAGGCAGCGCGCUGGGACGGUAUUGACGCUGAGACGCGAAAGCGUGGGGAGCAAACAGG